UCGGACGGGUGAGUAACGCGUGGAAAACCUGCCGUAUACUGGGGGAGUAACACUUAGAAAUAGGUGCUAAUACCGCAUAAGCGCACAGCUUCGCAUGAAGCGGUGUGAAAAACUCUGGUGGUAUACGAUGGUUCCGCGUCUGAUUAGCUAGUUGGUGGGGUAAUGGCCUACCAAGGCAACGAUCAGUAGCCGGCCUGAGAGGGUGAACGGCCACAUUGGGACUGAGACACGGCCCAAACUCCUACGGAAGGCAGCAG
rnacentral:rRNA from 1 species